CACGUAGGGGGCAAGCGUUGUCCGGAUUUAUUGGGCGUAAAGAGCUCGUAGGUGGUUCGGUAAGUCAGGUGUGAAACCUCCAGGCUCAACCUGGAGACGCCACUUGAUACUGCUGUGACUGGAGUCCGGUAGGGGAGCGUGGAAUUCCUGGUGUAGCGGUGAAAUGCGCAGAUAUCGGGAGGAACACCGGUGGCGAAGGCGGUUCUCUGGGCCUGUACGUGACGCUGAGGAACGAAAGCGUGGGGAGCGAACAG
rnacentral:rRNA from 1 species